rnacentral:rRNA from 1 species
AAUUUUUUUUAACGGCUGCAAUUAAUAAUUGUGCUAAGGUAGCGUAGUCAUUUGCCCCUUAAUUAGGGGAAGGUAUGAAUGGUUUGACGUGNGAAAGACUGUCUCUUUUGUAUUGAAAGAAGUUUAUUUUUGAGUGAAAAAGCUUAGAUGGUUGUAAAAGACGAGAAGACCCUAUCGAACUUGAAUUGUUUGUUUGAAUUUUUAAAUAAGUAAAGUUUAGUUGGGGAAACUUAAAGUAAAAAGUAACGCUUUAUUUUUUUGUUGUGAUCCUGUAAUAUGGAAAGGUGAAAAAGUUACCGUAGGGAUAACAGCGCUUUCUUCUCUGAGAGGACUAAUUAAAGAGUUGGUUGCGACCUCGAUGUUGGAUUAAAAUUUCUUUUUGGGGUAGGGG